AGCUUGGGAACGGUUGCUAGGGGUGGGUAAUGGGUGAAAAAAGGAGGGGUAUCGGGGAGCGGAUAAGGAGGGUUAAGGGAGGGGGCGAGGGUGGGGAGCAACGCAAAAGGUAAGGCCAGGUUACCGCGGCUCGGCCCCGAGUGGGCUGCGGCCGGGGGAGGGGCGAGAGAUACAUAUGUAUUUCUGUCUCCCCAGCACACCCCCUUCCCUCUAAGCGAUGGCUGAGAGGCGGUGCAUGCAGAUGGGGAGUAAGUUUCCUGAAGGGGAGGGUGGAUGCACGCGCGCAGCCCGGCGCUGCGAAUUUCCACCCGGGAGGGAGAGUGGCUGGAUGCGGAGAGUUUGGAGUUGCUUGCGGCGGAGGGCAGGAAGGGGAGCAGGGUUGGGAAAGGGGGCUGGCGGGCGCUAUAUCUGGGAGUAAGUUUCCAGGAUCAGGAGAGCCUGCACGCUUGUUCACUACUCUGCUCGCCCCCCAUCUCACCCCCCAAACGGAGAUUGGUCUUCUUGUCGGAUUGCCCAUGCACUUGUUGCAGAAACAGCCAAGGCCCUGGCUGUGGAGAAUGCUGAAGGAAGAGGACGCAGAAGCAGGACGACCCUGAAAGAUUCAGCAUCUUAAUCCUGAAACAGAACCAGGUCUCCUCUUCCCACCUGCCGAGCAGCAUGAGAGCAGCAUGACCGGCCGGCCGCAGGAGAAGCCCCCAGAGCCAGGCCCCCAACUCAGCCAUCUGCUGCGGAGCUCAAGGUGUGAGCGGCCUCUCCUCACAGCAGUGGUGUGUGGUACAUACCUCAGCCCGGGUGAGGAUGUAAAAGCCCCCGCCCUGCACGUGACUGGUACAGGCCGACGGGAACACCUGGCUCCAGCCACGUUCACAGACAUGUCAGCCGUGGAGUAGCGCAGACACUUUCUCUCAGC